UUCAAUUUAACUGUCAGUUUAGAAUUGUGAAUUUUGUAAUAUAGUUUAUUUUGUUUUUGAAUUCGUAUUAAAAAUACGAAGAAAAUCAUAUUAGUUCAUAAAAAGAUGGCAAAUUUCCUUCUGACAAGAACCCAAAAUGCUAAAUUUGCAGUCCAUUUGGACGAAAAUCGAGACAAGGCAAUAGUUUUUGGAAAUCUUCCAGAAAAAGAGGGAGACGAGAAUUGUAUUCGUCAUUAACAAUAGAUGGAUGCAUCAUUUUAAUUAAAAUCUCUCGAAUAUCAUUAUUACUGUCAUCUGCUGUCGUUAUCGCGAGCGUUUCGUGUGAAUAUUGUCAUUCCCGUUAGCGGCAUUUAUGUUUCAUGAAAUCAACAUCACUGUUCCAAUUUCCUUCUGAUUGUUACUUCCUUCCUGCAAAUGUUCAAUUUUAAUCGCAGUUUGUCUUUUUCUAAAACAAAACGAGCGACGAAGAUCACGACGACAACAGCAGCAGCAACAAUUUGAUGAAGGGAAUUAAUUAAGAGGAUUUCUGUUCGAUAACUUCCAACCGAACUUCCAGCAUUAGCAGAAUGCCAAACAUCACUCGACUGUCCUCUACAACAAUGUCCAACUAAAUUCAGGAGGCAAAAUUCAUGUCGGUGUUCGUCAAAGUUAAAACUUUGCCAUACUUGGAUUGUAAAGUUUUGUGUCAGAAUUUCAUCAGGUCACUUAGUCAUAAUUUUAUGGUCCAUGAAGCACAUGGAAACCAUGUCAUAGGCCAUUUAAUGUUCGUUCGACACAUUAGGCAACGAUGGACGUUAAGCACAAUGGAUUAAUGCAUAGAUGUUGGAUGUUGGCGACUGCUCCUCUCUUUGGCGAAGGGUGUUUUUAAUGUUGUCAUCGUGUAAUUUGCAAAUUAUAUUUUCAAUUUAUUUUGAUAUCAGACUUGGCUAAAUGUGAUGGUAAUUUUAUGCUUAUUAUUAAAGUUAAAAUAGAAAAACUCCUAACUGCUGCUUAAGAAUGCAGUGGAUGAGGAAAAUAAAAACAGGGAAAUCA